rnacentral:rRNA from 1 species
UACGGGGGGGGGCAAGCGUUGUUCGGAAUUACUGGGCGUAAAGGGCGCGUAGGCGGUUCGCUAAGUUGGAUGUGAAAACUCACAACUCAAUUGUGGGCGUGCGGGCGAUACGGGCAGACUGGAGUACUGCAGGGGAGACUGGAAUUCCUGGUGUAGCGGUGAAAUGCGCAGAUAUCAGGAGGAACACCGGUGGCGAAGGCGGCGACCUGGGUCGAGACUGACGCUGAGGCGCGAAAGCGUGGGGAGCAAACAGG